rnacentral:rRNA from 1 species
GACAGAGGUUGCAAACGUUGUUCGGAAUUACUGGGCAUAAAGCGCACGUAGGCGGUCCGUUAAGUCAUGUGUGAAAUCCCCCGGCUCAACCGGGGAAUUGCGCCUGAUACUGGCGGGCUAGAGGUCGAUAGGGGUGAGCGGAACUCCAGGUGGAGCGGUGAAAUGCGUAGAUAUCUGGAGGAACACCGGUGGCGAAGGCGGCAUCCUGGACCGGCAUUGACGCUGAGGAGCGAAAGCCAGGGGAGCAAAGCGGG